rnacentral:rRNA from 1 species
GAUGAACGCUGACAGAAUGCUUAACACAUGCAAGUCAACUUGAAUUUGGGUUUUUAUCUUAGGUUUGGGUGGCGGACGGGUGAGUAACGCGUAAAGAACUUGCCUCACAGCUAGGGACAACAUUUGGAAACGAAUGCUAAUACCUAAUAUUAUGAUAAUAGGGCAUCCUAUAAUUAUGAAAGCUAUAAGCGCUGUGAGAGAGCUUUGCGUCUCAUUAGCUAGUUGGAGAGGUAACGGCUCACCAAGGCGAUGAUGGGUAGCCGGCCUGAGAGGGUGAUCGGCAACUAGGGGACUGAGACACGGCCCUUACUCCUACGGGAGGCAGCGGUGGGGAAUAUGGGACAAUGGACCAAGAGUCUGAUCCAGAAAUUCUGUGUGCACGAUGAAGUUUUUCGGAAUGUAAAGUGCUUUCAGUUGAGAAGAAAGAAAUGACGGUACCAACAGAAGAAGUGACGGCUAAAUACGUG